AGGCGGCGGCGACAGCGGAGGGAGGGCGCGGCACUGCCGAGGGAGCCCCGCCGCGGGGGCCGCGACCCGCGCCGCCGGGGAUGCUGCGCUGGGUCCGGCAGCAGCUGGGUUUUGACCCACCGCAUCAAAGCGACACAAGAACUAUUUAUAUAGCAAACCGUUUUCCCCAGCAUGGCCAUUAUGUUCCUCAGAAGUUUGCAGACAACAGAAUCAUAUCAUCCAAGUAUACAGUGUGGAAUUUUGUUCCAAAAAACUUAUUUGAGCAGUUCAGAAGAGUAGCCAACUUUUAUUUUCUGAUUAUAUUUUUGGUUCAGCUCAUGAUAGAUACCCCUACCAGUCCUAUUACCAGUGGAUUGCCAUUAUUCUUUGUCAUAACUGUGACAGCCAUAAAACAGGGCUAUGAGGACUGGCUGCGACAUAAAGCAGACAAUGAAGUUAACGGUGCUCCAGUUUAUGUUGUUCGAAGUGGUGGCCUUGUGAAAACCAGAUCUAAAAACAUUCGGGUGGGGGACAUUGUCAGAGUAGCCAAAGAUGAGACUUUCCCUGUUGAUCUGGUGCUCCUGUCAUCUGACCGAGUGGACGGUUCAUGCCACGUUACCACUGCAAGUUUGGAUGGAGAGACCAAUCUUAAGACACAUGUUGCAGUCCCAGAAACAGCAGUGCUGCAGUCUGUUGCCAACCUGGACAAACUGGUAGCUGUUAUAGAAUGUCAGCAGCCAGAAGCAGAUCUGUACAGAUUUGUUGGAAGAAUAACUGUAAGUCAACAAGCUGAAGAAAUAGUACGACCUCUUGGGCCUGAAAGUCUCUUACUUCGUGGAGCAAGAUUAAAAAACACUAAAGAAAUAUUUGGUGUUGCUGUGUAUACAGGUAUGGAGACAAAGAUGGCAUUAAAUUACAAGAGUAAAUCUCAGAAACGGUCAGCAGUAGAAAAGUCCAUGAAUUCCUUUUUGAUUAUUUAUCUAAUAAUCCUCCUCUUUGAAGCCAUUCUGAGCACUAUUUUAAAGUAUGCAUGGCAAGCUGAAGAGAAAUGGGAUGAGCCUUGGUAUAAUGAAAAAACAGAGCAUGAAAGAAACAGCAGUAAGAUCCUGAGAUUUAUUUCAGAUUUUCUUGCUUUUCUGGUACUUUACAAUUUUAUCAUACCCAUUUCACUCUAUGUGACUGUUGAGAUGCAGAAAUUUCUUGGGUCUUUUUUUAUUGGCUGGGAUCUUGACCUCUAUCAUGAAGAAACAAACCAGAGAGCACAAGUAAAUACUUCAGACCUCAAUGAGGAAUUGGGACAGGUAGAGUAUGUGUUUACAGACAAAACUGGCACAUUAACUGAAAAUGAGAUGCAGUUUCGGGAGUGCUCUAUUAAUGGCAUAAAGUACCAAGAGGUCAAUGGUAAACUAACUCCAGAGGGAUUUUCUGAAGAUUCUCCUGAUGGAAAUAGGCAUGGUUUGGUGAAAGAGGAAGAGCUCUUCUUGAAAGCAGUUUGUCUGUGCCAUACAGUGCAGAUCAAUGCAGAUCAGACAGAUGGUGCUGAUGGUCCCUGGCAUGCCAAUGGAAUAACAUCCCCCCUGGAAUAUUAUGCUUCUUCUCCAGAUGAGAAGGCUUUGGUGGAAGCUGCGAGCCGGGUUGGAGUAGUAUUUACUGGAAUUAGUGGAGACAGUAUGGAAGUAAAAAGUCUUGGAAAACCAGAGAGGUAUAAAUUGCUUCAUGUUUUGGAGUUUGAUCCAAAUCGCAGACGAAUGAGUGUCAUUGUAGAGAGUCCCUCAGGGGAGAAGCUUUUAUUCACAAAGGGAGCAGAAUCUUCCAUUCUUCCUCGCAGUAAGAGUGGAGAAAUAGAUAAAACAAGGAUACAUGUGGAUGAAUUUGCUUUGAAAGGCCUAAGAACUUUGUGUGUGGCCUACAGAAGAUUCACACCUGAGGAGUACCAAGAAAUUGGCAAACGCCUUCAUGAGGCCAGGACUGCCUUACAGCAGCGGGAAGAGAAAUUAGCAGAUGUGUUCAACUUCAUAGAAAGGGAUCUGGAGUUGCUUGGGGCUACAGGAGUAGAAGACAAACUGCAGGAGAAAGUCCAAGAAACUAUAGAAGCCCUCAGGCUGGCUGGUAUCAAAGUGUGGGUGCUCACUGGAGACAAGCACGAAACAGCUGUUAGUGUCAGUUUAUCCUGUGGACACUUUCACAGAACCAUGAACAUCCUUGAGCUUGUGCAGCACAAGUCAGACAGUACCUGUGCAGAACAGCUGAGGCAGCUAGCCAAGAGAAUAAAGGAAGACCAUGUUAUCCAGCAUGGACUGGUUGUGGAUGGGACCAGCCUCUCUCUUGCACUCAGGGAACAUGAAAAACUGUUCAUGGAAGUUUGCAAAAACUGUUCUGCAGUGUUGUGCUGUCGCAUGGCACCCCUUCAGAAAGCAAAGGUGGUUCGACUGUUAAAAACCUCUCCGGAGAAGCCCAUAACGUUGGCGAUCGGGGAUGGUGCUAAUGAUGUGAGCAUGAUCCAGGAGGCACAUGUUGGCAUAGGAAUCAUGGGCAAGGAAGGAAGGCAAGCUGUAAGAAACAGUGACUAUGCAAUAGCACGAUUUAAAUUCCUCUCCAAGUUGCUUUUUGUUCAUGGGCACUUUUACUAUAUUAGAAUAGCAACCCUUGUACAGUACUUUUUUUAUAAGAAUGUGUGCUUUAUUACACCACAAUUUUUAUAUCAGUUCUUCUGUUUGUUUUCACAACAAACGCUCUAUGACAGUGUAUACCUGACUUUGUACAAUAUUUGUUUCACUUCCCUGCCUGUCCUCAUCUACAGUCUUUUUGAGCAGCAUGUGCACCCGCAUGUAUUGCAGAGUAAACCUGUGCUCUACAGAGACAUCAGUAAAAAUGCCCAUCUGGGGUUUAAACCAUUUCUUUACUGGACCAUCUUGGGCUUCUUUCAUGCAUUUGUUUUCUUUUAUGGCUCGUAUCUUCUAAUGGGAGAAGACACUUCUCUGCUGGGAAAUGGCCAGAUAUUGAAACCUAACAGGCAAAUGAUGUUUGGGAACUGGACAUUUGGUACUUUGGUCUUCACCGUUAUGGUUAUAACUGUUACGAUGAAGAUGGCACUAGAAACUCACUUCUGGACAUGGAUAAACCAUUUUGUUACUUGGGGAUCCAUUGUAUUUUAUUUCAUAUUCUCCUUGUUUUAUGGGGGAAUUAUCUGGCCAUUUUUACAUACCCAGGACAUGUACUUUGUAUUUGUUCAGCUGUUGUCAAGUGGUUCUGCUUGGUUUGCCAUAAUCCUCAUAGUAGUUGCUUGUUUGUUUAUUGAUGUUGUGAAGAAAGUGCUGUACAGACAUCUGCAACCAACAAGUACUGAAAAAGCUCAGCUUACUGAGGCAGGUUCAGGUAUCAACUGCUUGGACUCCAUGUGCUGCUUCUCAGAUGGGGAAACAGCAUGCACAUCUGUUAGAAGAAUGCUGGAACGACUAAUGGGAAGGUGUAGCCCAACGCGGGUCAGCAGAUCAUGGAGUUCAACGGAUCCCUUCUAUGCCAACGACAGGAGCAUCCUGACUCUCUCCACAAUGGACUCAGCCACUUGCUGACAGGGACAUUUUUGAGUGCCUUGUGGAAGCCCUGUGGCGCUCACACACCUGUAGCAGGUGCUGAGGCGAGCUCAGUGUCCGGCGCUGCCCCAGGAAGGCCCAGAGGACUCCUGAGUGCAGCCAGGGCUUGCCUGGCCUGGCAAAAUCUGCACUGCAAUUGCUUCCAGGAAUUUUUCUAAUUAUAUCUACAAAUUGCUAAAUAAGUUUUUUGUUUUUUGGGGUUUUUUUUUAAGGAAUGCUUUUACCUCAGACCAUUUGAUCCUUUUUGUUGCUGUAUGAGCAGAUUGGAAUCCUACAUUUAAUACUGGAGAUACCCCUGUAGGGCAAUGACAGAAAUCUUUCUCCUCCCAAAUUUGAGUGAUCCGAUUUGAAUCAAUUUGAAUCUGCACAAUUAAACUUUUAAAAGUUGUGUUUUUAAUGAUGACCCUUCCUUUUAAACACACAUUCAUUUUGAGCUGUCUUGCAGAUGCUGUCUUAGCAGUUUGUUACUUCUGUGGACAGUUACUCUAUUCUAUAAGCAAUCAUUUUAGUAAUUUUUGAGAGUUAAAUGCAAUUCAAAUAUUUAUGCUGGUGUAUGAGUGGCUAAUAUAUUAGUCAUUGCUUUGAAAAACACUUAACUGUGACAAAUCAGUAAUUUGUAAUAAUAAGGGAUAUAGCAGCUCAGUGUUCUCCUAAAGUCCAAUUCAGAAACCAGUCAUCUUUUAUUAUGCCCUGUAUGUUUUAUUAACAGUUCUGGAUCCUGACAUGGAAAAAUUUGUUAAGAAUUGGCGGGUUGAGCAGAAGUCUCACUAGCAUAAAUUUUUGAAUUAUUAAUCAUUUUAAAGUUGGGGAAUUUUUGCAUGUUUUGUUCUUUUUCAUGUAUUUAUAUUUGGUCACGUUGUACUUUGAAGAUAUAAUUAAUGCUUAAUUAUCUUCGUCUCUCGGAAGGAUCCGAGACCUUGAUGGCAAUGUUUUGAUACCUAAGUAUGCCAAUAAAAACCAAUUGCACAGUUGGAGCUCUGGGUGGUGCAUCCUGCAGGUGCCUCCCUGGCCCAGUACAGACCUGUCUGCAUGCUGGGGGCUGGGGAGCAGCAACAUUUCACUGUUCCCUCAGCCAGGGAGGCUGAACCACUGCUUGUCCUGGGAUGUGGGAGAUGAAGUGGAGGUGCCUUAGAACAGAGCUGUUCAUGGCUGGGGACUGGGAAAAGUGCUGCUGCUCCAGGACACCCCCUUUUGUCACCUCUGACAGUGACAUCCCAUCAAUAACUGGGAUACUUGUCCUUUCAGACACUUGAAAGUGUAAAGAUCCAUCUUAAAGUUAGCUCUGGGUAAAAACUGCAAAUCUGGGCCACUGCAAACCUGGCUGACUGUAACUGGGCUGCUGCCAGGGCAGUGCACCCCUCCUGUCAUCCCCAGUUCUCCCAGGUUCAAUGAGCAAAGGAACAGGUCCUGCUUUCCAGGGAUCACAUCCUUCAGAUGUUCCUGACCUACAAACAGCUCUGCUGUUCAUUUUCCUGCCCGUGACUUUAACUGGGAUUAUUUCAGCUCUCCUCUUGGAGCUUUGUUUUUGCAUUAGUGCCUGGCAGCUUCCCUCAGACCUGAAGGCUGCAGGUACCGUGGAGUUUACAAGAUCUCAGUGCUCAAGGCAACAUCUGCGUGGGAAAGAAAUGGUCAUUGCAACUUCAUUGUUAAAUUUCUAGUGACUUGAACUUGCACACAAGGGAUUUUCCCCACUGUUACAGGUAAAGAUCAGUUGAGAAAUUAAGAAGCUUUAAAAAUAAAUUACGAGACAAGAAGAAGGAACAAAAUACAGCAAACUUUCCUUUUAAAUAAGUGUUUAAUUCAACGUUCAUAGUGCAUUUUUGUAUCAUGUCCUCAGAUGCCUGAGUGCAGUGAAGCUUGAGGCUGAAAAUGUCAGUGUGCACUAGAUCCCCCCAGCGAGUGCCCAGGGGAUGAAGAAACACUAAAAUUGAGCUUUGUCUUCUCGUGCAGCAGGUAUGAACAUGUGACUAACCCCACUGCAUGGGGCUGAGAACCUGGAUCCAGCUGGAGAGGCAAUAAUCCAUCCAGUCCCCUCCAGAUCUGCAAGUAGUAGCAAAAUACAGUUUCACCAACUCCUCUAACUUCCUUUAAAUUUCAUAUCUAUCUUAAACCUGGGUUUAAAAUAGUAAUUUUCUUCCUAGUAGUUUCUCUUCCUAGGAGUUGUCAUGCUGCCAUGGAUACCUAGGAAAUGCAGAAUUAUUUACUACUCUAAUCAGAUAUCUGCUGUUUGGCUGUAUUUUACACCUCAGCCAGAGUGUUUCACCUUUCAGCAGUGCUUGUUUGUCCGUGCCAGGCCCAGCAUUGUCCUGUCAGUGUGUGUGAGCGUGUGCCCUCAUCCCUCCAUCCAUCAGUGUGUGGUUCGUGUGUCCUGCCCUGAGCCUGUUCCUUGUGUGAGGGGAGCAGAGGCUUUGCCCAAAACCCCACUCCAAGCAUUUCCAGUGGCCCAGCUCUGUAGGUGAUGUAUUUUGGCUUUUACCACACCAGUGUGUUGAGUAGAUUUGCACAAAAGCAGCGCAGUCGUGUAUUUGAAGAAUAAUUUGCACUCAUGAUGUGUUUCUUUAAAACCUUCCAUCUCCUCUCCUCCCUUUCCCCCUGCUUUCCCUUUUCCCAGUGUUUGUAAGGUUACCGAAGAAACUUGCAUUUAAACAAUUCAGGAAGGACUUAAGAAUCCAUCCCUCGGCCAAGCUCAAUGCUGCUCCCAAGGCGUCAGGACCGGCUCAGAGCCCUCCGAGCCGCCUGUGCUGCUGCUCCUUCGGGGACCUUGGUGCCGCUGCUGCCGCCGCCCGGCUCCGGCUGAGCCGCUCCGCGUCCCCGCGGGGGAACAGCUCCGGGACACAAACGCGCAGCUCCCGCAGGCUCAGAGCGACGCUUGGCUCGGCUGUCAGAGACCCCGGCAGCACCUCCGAGGCCUGGGGCUUUAUUCAUCUCUCCUCAGCAGUUUUCAAGGAAAUUCCUUCAAACUGCAGCAGGUUCUCACCCUUUUACGUUUUGACAACAGGAAAAAAGAUGAUCUGUGGAGCGUGCAGUUGAAAAGGGUUAAAAAUGAGGCGCACAUUGCUCCAGGAGGAUCUUAAUUUGUAUCUCAAAGAAUAUAUUUUUACAAUUCCUAGUUGCAGUCCUUAUGACAGAUUUCAGGUUUUAUGCAUACAAAAAUAAAUCAUCAUCUAGCCUCCUGUUUUUUUACUGAAGAGGGAUUGAGCUUGCUUCUUUGCAGGAAAAAACAAAUGGUUUCAUCUCUGCAAGUAUCUUUUAAAAGCUGUUGAUCCUUAAUUUUAGGCAGAUUAGGGGUGUUGCCUACUGGAAAUGAGCAAUAAGUAAUACAAAGAAUUUUGGACCUCUGACACUGUGGCUGCCUCAUGUUCUUUUUGCUCCUUUGACAGCGAGGCUGUGUGCUUGCUCCUUGUACAGCUUGGUCAGUAGUUGUUUUGAAAAUGGUUUAUGGAAAUUAUAUUUAUUAAAUAAAAUUUUCACUUCUA